GAAAUCAAUCACAACCCUUUCAUGUGAAAUCCUUAGUGUUGUGAGCUCUUAAAAGGGACAGAAAUUGUGCACUUGGGGUGCUCGGAUUUUAAGGCAGCAGCUUGCCGAUCCUCCCAGCUGAAUAAAGCCCUUCCUUCUACAACUUGGUGUCUGAGAGGUUUUGUCUGCGGCUCGUCCUUCUACAUUUCUUGGUCCCCUGACCGGGAAUCGAGGUAACUGAGGGAUGGCCGAGGUAGCCCCUUAGGCAGCUUAGGCCUGCCCUGUGGAGCAUCCCUGCAGGGGACUCUGGCCAGCCUGAGUGACGUGAUCCAAAGAGCACUCCUGGGUAGAAAAUUGCCUGGGUGGAACGCCUCACCAGAACAGCACGUAGCAGGCCCCUGUGGAGGAUUAACACAGUGGCUGAACACCGGGAAGGAACUGGCACUUGGAGUCCGGACAUCUGAAACUUGAAUUGACAAGCCGACAUCAGUCUCCAGAGUGAAUCCAAGGAGUGGACCCAAGACAUUUGUGUUCUGUGAUGUGGUGGCAUGUUACCUGUCAUCUCCGAUGCAUAACUCCUAAAGUGCGUCUGGGGCAGUUGUACAGAUUGCAGAGGAUAAUACUCAAGAUGUUCUCCAAGGCCAACUAGUCAUCAGUUUAUUCAUGCAAGUAUUAAUAAUACAAUUGCUUCUCCAGGUUCUAGCAAUUAAAGAAGAAGAAAAAACAAGUGGCCUGAAUUUGAACAAAGCAAAUAUGAGAUUUGUGGCUAUUGCUUGUAAAAGGGUUGCCUUCACAAAUAGCCUUAGAGCAGAGGAUUAAGAAUCACAGAAAAUGUACUUGAUUGUGUAUACUUUUGCUGUGUGACCUCAUCAGUUUGUAUAUAGACAACCAGAGCUGAGUCCCUUUUCAUAUGCUGCUCUCUCCAUUCAGUACAGUAGAUGUUAAACAUUGUGUGUAGGUAUGCACAUGUGUAGGCCGCCAUAUGUGAGCAUGUGUGCAGUUUCAUGUAUUCAGUGUCUGCUGAAGCAGACUUCGCUAAUUACUGUAUUACCCUUCUCCUUUUGUUCAAGCCAGGAAACCAGUUUCAGGAACCAGUAAGAAAGACACAAGAAGAUAUGCCCUUCAGGUCCCUCCAUAUCUGUAAUGCUUGGUUCCUUCAUGCCUCUAGAAAA
ensembl:lncRNA LINC01320 long intergenic non-protein coding RNA 1320